AUGUGUUAGAUGUAUUUUUUGCUUCACAUUACGCAUUUGCCUUUCAGGGACAAGACGACUUUGUUUGCCGCGGCUGUUCAUUUUGGGUUCCUCUCUACGCAUGUUCCUGUGGAGGGUCCUGAGUGUAUUUUGGAUUACAUGAGUUGUGUCACGUACCUCCUGACAUGCUGCGGUGAUGUUUUGACCAAGGGUGACUAAUGGACCAGUCCUUCCUGACCCAGAAAUUUGCCCUGGAGAGAGCUGUGAGCCCUGACUCAGCCUCCACUCUACCUAUGCUUGCCCUGCUGUGCCUACGCGGCAGAGAGAGGACUUCAGACUUUCAGCAAUUCCUGCCUCGUGCUCAGCUCUGCAGAAGCUACUCUCCUGCCCACUCCGUAGUGCAUCACGUGGAGAGCCCACAUGGACGGCUGAGAGCAGGGAUCCUGUAG
rnacentral:lncRNA from 1 species